CCUCUCGUGGCGUAACGAUAACGCGCCCUAUCUAUCGAAUUGGUAGUCGUGAGUUCGAUUCUCACCGGAAAGA
rnacentral:tRNA from 1 species